UCGUGUGGCAUAAUUUGGUGUCAGAUAACCUGUCUCGGAAUCGCCAAUACAUAAAACUUGUCAUAUUUGGCUUUCAGUCUUAUAUACUCUACUAUAUCCUCAGAUUUCGUGGAGUAAUGCAGCUGCGACAGGUACAGCAGCGUCGUCGGUAUGGCCGCACGCAGCAGAAAGUUCGGUCCAGUCGGUGCUGUGCCACACAGGUUAAGGGCUAGCGUCGGCGUCCUCUCCACUUUUGUGAAGACGUCACCGUCGUACCGGAGACGGCUCUCUGCGUAAACAAUUACCGAACGUGAUUUAUAAAACGUAACUUUGAAAGAGGAAAUAAGCAGUGCCUCUAAUUCGAAUGUCUUCCAGUUUAUUAAGAAGGAUGGGGACAAAGACGGUGUCAAAAGCUUUUUCCAUUAUAAAGCUGCCUUGUGAAGUGCCAAAUUGCCUACUU